GCCAGUAUAGCUCAAUGGUAGAGCAUUCGGCUCAUAACCGAAUUGUGGAAGUUCGAUUCUUCCUACCGGCA
rnacentral:tRNA from 1 species